CUGCUGGCGAGGAACUGCGUUUUUCUCCUGAACCAAUGGAGUCAACACAGGAGGGUACACAUUCCAUUGAAAAUCCGCGAAGUAGACGUCAUAACGACGACGAUGACACAAACAGGCAAAGUGAAACUCCAUCACCUGUUCAAACAAGAACUUCCAGGCGUGGUGGUCGCGGACAACGUGGUCGUGGCAGUAGUCGUGGACGUGUAGGCCGU